UCAAUAAUGUCUUGUAUUUAAAUUCCAUUUCCCAAUGCUUAUGGUUGACAUUCAUCUAAUUAGUGAUCUGAUUCAACCCAAAACGUUUUUAUGGGAUGCCUAUUGUGUGCCUAGCAGAAAUACACUUUGAAACUAAAAAUCUUUUUUUAUUGAUUGAAUUAUAGUUGACUUAAAAUAUAUUUGAAACUAAAAAUCUUUUAUAUUGGAUAAACAUAAUGAGAAUUUAUAUCCCAGUAUUGCAAAUAUUGAGUAAAGACCUUGCUGUUUCAGUAAAAAUCAAUUUAAAAGGAUUUUUUUCCCCAUUCCUUCCAAAACAACCUAGAAGAUAAUGGCAUUUCUCCCUUAAACAUUAUAUAAGAAAAUCUCCUUUACAUUAAUAAAGUAAGAGACAGAAAUUUUUAAUUUACAUUUUUCCUUUUAGCAAAGAUUUUUUUCUAUUUUUAUUAAAUUUUAAUGAAAAAUAAUAAAUACACUUCUUACAAACAAUUGAAACAUUAGAAAAGGAUAUCCAGUGGGAAGUAGGUCCACAUCUCUCAGAAGUGUUCCAUGCACAUACAAACAUGUGUUUUAUAUCAAUUUAUAACUCUACCUUUGCACAUCAUCUUAUUCUCUGCUUUUUUUCACAGGUACCAUGUAUUCUUCCGUACCCUGAUGUUUUUCACUUAAGUAAUUUUGGAGGUUUUCCCAGAACAGUACAUGUAGAUCAAGCUCAUUUUCAAUGCUGCAUGGUAUUCCAGGAUGGAGAUCUGGGGAGACAGAGUGGUAAGAAGAAUGGAAAAGAUCUUUCCUGAUCGAUAUUAUUGUGGUCAGUCUUCUCCAGACUCGGCAGAUAUUUUAAGGUAACUCUCUUAUGUGGGGAUCCUUCAGAAACCCACCGAUGAAAGAAGACACCUUCGUUAAAAUAGACUUCCGGAUUUCCAUCAGUGACAGGCUUCUGGAGGGGCAGAGCCAAGUGGCAGCCCUUAACAGCCAGCAGCAAGGUGGGUGCAGUUACUAUAAUGGGCAGAGUAUCUGCAGCAGCAAAGCAGAGUAUUUCAGCACACGAGAAUCUUUGAUGUUUGUUCAUUGUUCAUGGUGGCCCCAGGACCAAAACAGAUCGGAAUUCUACUAGGAAUCACUUGAUUUAUGUAACUGGGAAAUCUCUAGAUCCAGUGACUAGAAACCUGAGUUCAAUGUAGAGUCAUAGCUCAUCACCCAAGUCUCAGAUCUGAAUCAGCUGAAAGACACAGAAAUGCCCGGAUCACUGAUUUUGCAGCUGGGUCCAAGGAGUAGCCACAGCGACAGCACCUGGGAAUUUGUUAGAAAUGCAAAUUUCCAGACCCUCCCCCAGCCCUACGGACGCAAGCAAACACUCUGGAGGAGGGUCCAGCAGUCUUUGUUUUAGCAGGCACUUCAGCUGAGUCCUGUGCAUGCUAAGGUCUGAGAACUCUGACCUUAAGAGAAGGAGAGGCUGGGAAGCCUUAGAAGGGACCCUGUAACAUUGCUAAGGAAGAUGGUUAUCGGAGAAUGACUAUGGAUUCUUAUAGAAUCAUUCAGGUACCGGACCAGAUGUAGCCUCUUUACUGGAUAACACAGCAGUGCUCCUGGUACUUUGAAGGCAAGCAUUGAUCUGGCAGUUGCUUUUUUCCCUCAACACCAAAUUAGCAACGAUCCCCAGAUGGAGUUUGCUCCCAAUUAGCAGGAUCAGCAAAACACCCUCCCUGUCUUACCUCAGACCUCUGUGACCCUUCCGCUGUCUGACAACAUCUAGUCUGCAGGGGCCUUGAUCAUCGUGAUAUUCCCCAGAACACCAUGCUAAUAUAUUACAUUAUUGACACGGUGAGCAGGAAGCAGCACAUACUCUCGAUGCCUUAAUAAGACAUAUGUAGGCCAGAGGGUGGGAGAGAAAUGCCAAGAAAAGUCAAAGGCCUACUACCUCAGUGACGUUUCUAAGGGGUCCAGGGGUCUGAGAAAUGUUGGCAUUUCCUCUCCAAAUAGAAGGGCAAAUUGCUAUACUUUGUAUCACCUACCAUUGAGAAAGAGCUACAGUGUUCUCUAUCUCUUGAUUUUUGAGAUAACAUAGCCUCUUUCUGAGUGUAUUGUUCAAAACAACAUUUGAGUAAUCCACAAAGCUGCCAAGUUUUGUGUGGGGACCAGAGCAAAAAAAGCCUCCCUAGCAGCGUUUCUCAGCAUCAGCAGUGUUGACAUUUCGGGGACAAAUAAUUCUUCAAUGUGGGAGGCUAUCUGCAAAUUGUAGGAUGUUGUUUAGCAGCAUCCCUGGCCUCUACGUCCGGUUGUGACAUCCAGAAAUCUCUACAGACAUCGCCAGAUAUCCUAGGGGGAGCAAAACUGCUGUCACUUGAGAAUCCCUGGCCUACAGCAUGUCUAGAUGGUGGAGGAAGAAACUGUUUGGACCAGGUUCGCAGAUGGUCCCUUACAAUUUGAAGGCAUCAGAUAGAGGUGGACUGUAGAAGCAUCAUGGCCCAAAGCAGGAAUGCGAAUUCCACAUGCAAGUUGUGAAGCAGAGGAAGGUGCUAUUAGAAGUACCAGGUCUGACAUCAACACGAAUUGGUUUUACCUCUUGCUGGAAAGUAGCUGAUCCAUCAAUAAGGAUCCCAUCCUCUUUCAAAAAUGAAUCGAUUAAUCAUGUCAAAAGAUCUCAAAGGCUGAUCAUAGGGCAAAAUGUGGCCUCCACCUCGAACAAUUACCUUAAAGAAGAAAAACAGAAGAAAAACUGAAAUCUAGAGAAUCGGAUAUUCCAGAUAAAUGGAAAGUUUUAAUUUGGAUUUAAGUAUUCUUAAAGCUUACAUGAAAUAAAGAACA